rnacentral:rRNA from 1 species
UACGUAGGGUGCAAGCGUUGUCCGGAAUUAUUGGGCGUAAAGAGCUCGUAGGCGGUCUGUCACGUCGGCUGUGAAAACCCGGGGCUCAACCCCGGGCCUGCAGUCGAUACGGGCAGACUAGAGUGCGGUAGGGGAGACUGGAAUUCCUGGUGUAGCGGUGAAAUGCGCAGAUAUCAGGAGGAACACCGGUGGCGAAGGCGGGUCUCUGGGCCGUUACUGACGCUGAGGAGCGAAAGCGUGGGGAGCAAACAGG